UGGGUAUAUGAUUUACUACCUA
rnacentral:siRNA from 1 species